GACCGCGUGGCCAAAAGGUAAGGCAUCUGAUUCCAGUCCAGAAGAUUAUCCGUUCGAGUCGGGUCGUGGUCA